AUAAUAAUAUGAACAUUUAGCGGGCAGAAUCAAAACCACGCAAGUCAGAAGCUGUUUAAUACAAGCAAAACUCGGCAAUAACAACACCACCGGUGGUUAUGCAGAGAACGAGUCGCCUGAAGCGGGAGCUGCAGCUUCUCAGCGCCGAGCCUCCUCCAGGAGCCUCCUGCUGGCAGACUGAGGCACGGCUGGAUGAACUACAAGCCCAGAUUGUUGGAGGCGCAGACACUCCACAUGAAGGAGGUGUGUUCACACUGGACAUCAACAUACCUGAGAGGU